UGCCAGUAAUAUAUGCUUAUCUUGAAGACUAAGCCAUGCAUGUCUAAGACCGUUAUCGUGUACACUCGGGUGGUUUUUGCCACUCUAGUGUAUUCGUCCAAUAAUCUGCGAAAGGCUCAUUAAAUCAGUUUUAAUCUUACCUCCUGGCAUCAAACGUUAUUUUUUAACGAAUAAGGAUAACACAGUCAAAUGCAGCGAUAAUACUUGCCAUAAGUCUAGAUAUUGACUCGUUUAGUGUCUAGGACUAGUACUAACAAACCCAAAUUCAAAUAAAAUAUCUACGUGAUAUGUGAGGAUUCCUUGUUAGUAAAGCUUACAUUGGGGGUUUGACUGUUAUUGGGUUCGCUCAGUAACUCGUCAAGCUUUUCAAGAAGUGGUUGACCUUUUUGCUACUCUUUCGAGAGUAAUACUGUAGUCAAGUUUAAAAAGGCAUUUUUAAACCUUGGUUACUAAGGAGAGGCACGGCAGUUGAGAUUCUACCCUAUCAGUUUUCGUCGUUUCAGUAAUGGCCAAACCAGGCAACAACGGGUACGGGAGACAAGUGUCUAAAUCCGGAGAGGGAGCCUUAAAAAUGGCUACUACAUCUAAGGACGGCAGCAGGCGCGAAAAUUACCCAAUACUAAUUCAGUGAGGUAGUUACAAGAAAUAACAACCGUGUGGUUUUAACUGCACGGGUAUCUGUAACAGGAUUUGGAAUGGUCCUAGCAUAAAUUCCUAGGAUAGUAUCGAUUGGAGGACAAGUCUGGUGCCAGCACCCGCGGUAAUUCCAGCUCCAACAGUGUAUAUUAACACUGUUGUAGUUAAAACGCUCGUAGUUUGUCUAAGAGGCCAUAUUCAUCGUUCAUUUGGGUCUGACAUGAUAUAUAACUGAGUUCGCUCAGUAGUAUCAUGUUCAAGAUCAGUCAAAUAGGCCUUCGGGUUUGUUUGAUUGGUUUUUUUCAAAGGAUUCCAGAUCUUUGGCGGUCCCCCGUCAAUGGCUCUGCCUCAUGGUUUGAUUAAGUAGUUCAUUGAAUUACUUAGUUAGGCUUUGAUGUUGGGGUGUGCGAUAGUAUGGUUUCGAUCUUGUAACCAGCAUACCGUUAAUCAUGUAAGGUAUGCGUUGUUUUUUAUUAAAUGACAAGAUGGGAAGAGAAUCGGGCUAAUCUGAGUAUCUUUUCCAAGAUAUGAGGGUUAGUAUAAUGUGCUUCCUGUUGAUGGUUGCAAGCCAUUUUUAGGAACAACUGUGAAUAAAUCAGAAUGCUUAAGGUAGGCAAUGUGUGUAGGAUCAGUCUUCAGUUUUUCUAAAUUGGAGACCCCUACAAUAGUCUGAAUGCUCUAGCAUGGAAUUUGUUUGUUUCCAAGCAUAAGUCAUCAACUUAUGCUUGGUAUUAGCAAUGAGAGAUUGGGAAAGGGCUCGAGAAUUGUUUGAAUAGAGGUGAAAUUCAAUUAUCUAAGCACGACUAUUAGAGGCGAAGGCGGUUUGUCCGUAACAUCUCUAUCAAUCAGGAACGAAAGUUAAGGGAUCGAAGACGAUCAGAUACCGUCGUAGUCUUAACCAUAAACGAUACCAUCAGAAGAUCAGAAUUGAUACCGUUUCUCCAGAUCAGUCUGGGAUUCAAGGGAAACCUCAAGAUUUUAGGUUCUAGGGGGAGUAUGGUCGCAAGGCUGAAACUUAAAAGAAUUGACGGAAGGGCACCACCAGGAGUGGAAUUUGCGGCUUAAUUCGACUCAACACGGGAAAACUCACCAAGGCAGGACAUGGGGAUGAUUGACAGGUUAAAAGUCCUUUCUUGAUUCCAUGAUUGGUGGUGCAUGGUCGUUCUUAGUUCGUGGAUUGCUUUGUCUUGUUAAUUCAGAUAACGAACGAGAUCUUGACCUACUAAAUAGGUGGUUAGUGUAGGUGAUUUGGGGGAUUCGUCUCUCAAGUGGGCCUACAUCCGAUUCAGGGGUGGUCUUUUAGGCCAUCUAUGAAUCUAACAUUAGACUAGUCGUGGUUUCGAUCGUGAUUAGUCGUACUUCUUAGGGGUACAAUGUGUAUUCUUUUAGCACAUAAGGUAGCACAGGGAAGUUCAAGGCGAUAACAGGUCUGUGAUGCUCUUAGAUGUCUUGGGCUGCACGCGUAUUACACUGUUAGUAACAGCAAGCUAUUUUAACGUGAUUGGCAUUUUAAUCGGUGCCAAUCACUGUCCUUUUCUUUUGGUGUAUUUAUUACAUCAGACCGGAUUGUAGUUUACUAUAGUUCGGUACAAGUAGAAUGGGGAAACUUUUCAACUACUAACGUGACAGGGAUGGCACUUUGUAAUUAGUUCCUAAACGAGGAAUUCCUAGUAAGCGUGGAUCAUCGAAUUCACACUGAUUACGUCCCUGCCCUUUGUACACACCGCCCGUCGCUCCUACCGAUGGUAUAGACAGGUGAAUUGGAAAGAUUGAACGUUAAUUUUUUGAUGGUUGAAAAUUUUAAUGAACCUUUUUAUAUGUAGGAAGGAGAAGUCGUAACAAG
rnacentral:rRNA from 1 species